GACGAACGCUGGCGGCGUGCUUAACACAUGCAAGUCGAACGGAAAGGCCCUGCUUUUGUGGGGUGCUCGAGUGGCGAACGGGUGAGUAACACGUGAGUAACCUGCCCUUGACUUUGGGAUAACUUCAGGAAACUGGGGCUAAUACCGGAUAGGAGCUCCUGCUGCAUGGUGGGGGUUGGAAAGUUUCGGCGGUUGGGGAUGGACUCGCGGCUUAUCAGCUUGUUGGUGGGGUAGUGGCUUACCAAGGCUUUGACGGGUAGCCCGCCUGAGCGGGUGACCGGCCACAUUGGUACUGAGAUACGGCCCAGACUCCUACGGUAGGCAGCAGUGGGGAAUAUUGCACAAUGGGCGGAAGCCUGAUGCAGCAACGCCGCGUGCGGGAUGACGGCCUUCGGGUUGUAAACCGCUUUCGCCUGUGACGAAGCGUGAGUGACGGUAAUUGGUAAAGAAGCACCGGCUAACUACGUG
rnacentral:rRNA from 1 species